AUGCCACCACUUCGAAGCAGCUCCCAGCUCCGCCCCCAAGGACCUGACGGUAAUCAGUCGUGAGGGGAGACCCAGAGCUAUUCUGAUUAGCUGGCAACCCCCCAUGGAGACUAACGGACGGAUCAUGGGCUAUAUCCUGUAUUACACCCUGGAUAAGAACAUGCCUAUAGAUGACUGGGUAACUGUGAG